rnacentral:rRNA from 1 species
UACGGAGGGGGCUAGCGUUGUUCGGAAUUACUGGGCGUAAAGCGCGCGCAGGCGGUGUGCCAAGUUGGGAGUGAAAUCCCGGGGCUUAACUCCGGAAUUGCUUUCAAAACUGGCACGCUAGAGUAUGGCAGAGGGUGGUGGAAUUCCUAGUGUAGCGGUGAAAUGCGUAGAUAUUAGGAGGAACACCAGUGGCGAAGGCGGCCACCUGGGCCAUUACUGACGCUAUAGCGCGAAAGCGUGGGGAUCAAACAGG